UUAAAUGGCAGCUCAGCUACUCAGAUGCCAACCCCAAUUUGCCAUGAAAUCAAAUGAACGACACCUGUUGUAGAGAGAGAAAGAGAGAGUGGCCUCUAAUUUCCCGCUCUGUUGCCCUGUUUUUUUGGAUUCCUAGAGAGAGAAUGGAUUCCUAGACAGAGAAUUCAUUCUCAAAAACAGUCACUCAACGAGAGAGAGAAGAGAAUGAGACGAAGCAUACUUCCAUACAGAGAGAGAAAGAGAGAGAGAAGAGAAAGAGACGAAGCAUACUUUCAUAUAGAUAGAGAAAGAGAGAGAGCUUUAUAGCUUGGAUCCAUCCGUUUUCUUGGCGGUUUUUGCAUUUAUUUUGACAACGCGCCAUGCGUGGUGUUUUCAAGCGACUUAAGCUCUGAUUGGACAUGGCUGGAGUAUGCUUCUCUUCAAGGUUUGGUCCAACACAUCACUGAGAUGAGCGAAUAAAGAAAGUAGUACUUUCAUUGUUCUGAAUUUCUUGAUAUUGAGCACUUGAUCAAAGAUAGAGUUGACAGCUGAAACAAAGCUAAAAGAUGAGUGAAUCUGAAAGGGAGCUGGAAGAAAACUUCGAAGGCAGGCAUGAGAAGAACUCCCAGCACUCCUCUGGCAGAAAGAGCAAUGGCAGCUCAUCUGGCUCUAGUUCUUCAGAUUCAGACUCGGGGACCAAACCUUACAAGGAAAUUAAUCGCAAAUUGGAACAGGAGAAGAAAGCCCUCAACGAGGAGAUAAAGAAAUUAAUGGAUAAAAUUUCUUCAAUGACAGAGGAAGAAGAGAAAAUGAAAGAAGAUGUACAAAUGAAAGAGGUCCGAAUUCGUGAACUAGAAGAACAGAAUGCGGGUCUUGUCUCAGAGCACAGAAAGGAAAAGCAGAAGAUGGAGGGAAGUUUCAGUGAAGAUUUGGGCUCCAAAGAUAAUCAAAUCCAGAAACUGGAAGACCAACUUGUGGGCCUUCGUGAAUCUCUCUCUAACCACGAGGAUGCACAGAAGAUCAUGGCGAAGAAAGAAGAAAAAUGGGUUGAAGAUUUAGAGUCCAAAGGGAAACGGGUCAUGGAUCUAGAAGACCAGCUUGCAAGGGCCCUCUCAAAUCAUGAACUUGAAAAGUCAAAGAUGAGUACGGAGAGAGAAGAGUUGAUGAAAGAUUAUAAAUCUAAGGGGAGCAGGAUACUGGAACUGGAAGUCAAGGUUGCUGGCCUCCAUCAGACAAUCUCGAGGCAUGAAAGCGAAGAAGUGAAGAGGACAGAAGAAGAAAAGAAAAUAAGAGAAGAAUUAUUCUCGAUGGGGAACCAGAUCCUAGAAUUUAGAGACCGACUUGUUGCCCAGACAGAGACUCUUGAAACGUACAAACAACAAGAACUGAAGAUGGUUGAGUACCAGUGGAAACUGAGACAAGAUCUGGAGUCAAAGGGGAACCGGAUCCUUGAAUUGGAAGACAAGCUUGCUGGUUUAUAUGAAACUCUCUCAAAGCAUGAAUCUGAAGGACUGAGGAUGACUGAGGAGAGACAGAUAAUGAAAGAAGAGCUAGAGUUAAAAGGAUGCCGGAUCCUUGAAUUAGAGGAGCAGCUUGCAGAUCUUAAUGAAGCCCUUGCAAAGCAUGAAACUGAAGGGCUGAAGAUGAGUGAGGAGAGAGAGAGAAUGAAAGAAGAACUACAGUUGAAAGGGAGCUGGAGCCUUGAAUUAGAAGACAAGCUUGCCAGCCUAAAUGAAGCAAAUGCAAAUCAUGAAAGCGAAAAAUUGAGGGUUACAAAGGAGAGAGAUAAAAUAAGAGAAGACCUUGAAUUGAAUCAGAGCCGGAUACUAGAACUAGGAGACAAACUCACAAGUCUAAACGAAACCCUCUCAAAUCACAAGAAAGAGCAGCUCGAGAUGGCAAGGAAAUUUAAAGCAGAUUUGGAAUCGAUGGACAUGCAGAAUGUGAUACUGAGAAAUGAAAUAGCAACAUUGAUUAUGAAGCAUAAGAAGGAAGGAGAAGAGGUUGCAAAGAGGAUAAAGAUAAUGGAGUAUGAUUUAGUGUUGAAGACAAGGUAUAUCACAGAAGUAGAUAAACAGCUUGAAGUUCUGAAUGAGACCCUAUCCAAGCACAAGGAAUUGGUCGAAACAGAACAGAAACUAAGAAUUGAACUCGACUCCAAGGUGACGCGGAUCCUAGACCUUGAAGGGCAGUUAGCUAGCCUAUCUAAAACCAUUGAGAUCUCUAAAAGCGAGAAUGAGAAACUCAAGACAGAAGUUGCAGAAAAGGAAACAAUUGUAACAGAUCUGAGCCUCAAACUGGACACUAGACAUGGCUCGAUCAAAGAAUUGGAGACACUUGUGGAACAGAAAGAAGCUAAGAUAGAGGAGCUAUGUGGGACUAUUGAUAUGUUUAAGUGCAAGAAUGAGGAACUCGAGACACAAUUGAUAGAAAGACAAAAAAAUGUUUCCAAUUUGAUUACUAAACUGGACACUGCACAUGGCUCAUUAAAAGAUUUGGAGAGAAGUGUGGCUAAGAGAGAAGCUGAGACAGAGAGGCUAGGUAAAACCAUCGAGAUCUCUAAGCUCGAGCAGGAGAAACUCAAGGCAGAAUUGGCGCAAAGAGAAAACCAUGUAUCAGAUCUGAGGCUUGAGUUGGAUAAUAGACAUGCCUCAAUCAAAGACUUAGAGAGAAGAGUAGAAGAGAGAGAAGCUGAGAUAAUCAGGCUCAGAAAUGAGCUUGGGGUGUGUUCUAGUAAGCUUCAAGAGAAAGAGGAACUACUUGGAACUAUAGAGGCGAACACUACAAUAUUACAGAGUGCCAAGGAGGAGCAGGAAACCAAAGCAAUUGAACUUGGAGAGGGGGCUAAGAGGCUACGAGAAGAGAAUGUUAGAUUACAAGACAGCACCAAGAAGCUCGAAGCAGAGAUCUUGGGGUUAUCUGAUGAACUUCAAUUCAUGAAAGAGGAGGUUGGGAAGUUAAGAGAGGAGCGUGAGUACUUAAGUCAGAAACUCCAAGGGGUGGAAGAGGACUUGAGUGAAAGUGUUCGAGAGAGAGAGGAAGCAGAAGCUUUGAUGGAUGGAGAGAGAAAGACUAUGGCACAAGAGUGUAAGCUGCUGAAUGAGAGGGAGUUGGAAUGCGAAGGAAACAUUGGGGAAUUGGAGAAGGAGGUUGCGAAGUUGAAAAUGGAGGUGGGGAAGUUACAGGAGGUGCGCAAGCAAUUGGAAUCGAUUCUUGAAGGCAUGGAAGAGCAACUGAGGGAGAGGGAUCGAGUGAAGGAGGAAGCUAAAGAUGCAUGGGAUAGAGAGAGAAAGUCUAUGGAGCAAGAGAGAGUGCUGUACAUCGAGGAGGUUGCAACAUAUGACGGGAUGAUUGUGGAAUGGGAGAAGAAAGUGGAGCAGGCCAAUGAUGAGGUUGGGAAGUUACAACAGGAGUGCAAGCAAUUGUACCUGAAGCUUCAAGAGAAAGAGGAACUAGUUGGAAUGAUAGAGGCGAACACUAGAAUAUUACAGAGUGCCAAGGAGGAGCAGGAAACCAAAGCAAUUGAACUUGGAGAGGAGGCUAAGAGGCUACGAGAAGAGAAUGUUAGAUUACAAGACAGCGCCAAGAAGCUGGAAGCAGAGAUCUUGGGGUUAUCUGAAGAAUUUCAACUCAUGAAAGAGGAGGUUGGGAAGUUAAGAGAGGAGCGUGAGCACUUAAGUCAGAAACUCCAAGGGGUGGAAGAGGACUUGAGGGAAAGUGUUCGAGAGAGAGAGAAAGCAGAAGCUUUGAUGGAUGGAGAGAGAAAAACUAUGGCACAAGAGUGUGAGCUGCUGAAGAAGAGGGAGUUGGAAUGCGAGGGAAACAUUGGGGAAUUAGAGGAGGAGGUUGUGGAGUUGAAAAUGGAGGUGGGGAAGUUACAGGAGGUGCGCAAGCAAUUGGAAUCGAUGCUUGAAGGCAUGGAACAGCAACUGAGGGAGAGGGAUCGAGUGAACGAGGAAGCUAAAGAUGCAUGGGAUAGAGACAGAAAGUCUAUGGAGCAAGAGAGAGUGCUGUACAUCGAGGAGGUUGCAACACAUGACGGGAUGAUUGUGGAAUGGGAAAAGAAGGUGGAGCAGGCCAAUGAUGAGGUUGGGAAGUUUCAACUGGAGUGCAAGCAAUUACACCAGAAGCUUCAAGAGAAAGAGGAACUACUUGGAAUGAUAGAGGUGAACACUAGAAUAUUACAGAGUGCCAAGAAAGAGCAGGAAACCAAAGCAAUUGAACUUGGAGAGGAGGCUAAGAGGCUACGAGAAGAGAAUGUUAGAUUACAAGACAGCACCAAGAAGCUCGAAGCAGAGAUCUUGGGGUUAUCUGAAGAACUUCAACUUAUGAAAGAGGAGGUUGGGAAGUUGAGAGAGGAGCGCGAGCACUCAAGUCAGAAACUCCAAGCGUUGGAAGAGGACUUGAGGGAAAGUGUGAGAGAGAGAGAGAAAGCAAAAGCUUUAAUGGAUGGAGAGAGAAAGACUAUGACACAAGAGUGUGAGCUGCUGAAGAAGAGGGUGUUGGAAUGCGAGGGAAACAUUGGGGAAUUGGAGAAGGAGGUUGCGGAGUUGAAAAUGGAGGUGGGGAAGUUACAGGAGGUGCACCAGCAAUUGGAAUCGAUGCUUGAAGGCAUGGAAGAGCAACUAAGGGAGAGGGAUCGAGUGAACGAGGAAGCUAAAGAUGCAUGGGGUAGAGAGAGAAAGUCUAUGGAGGAAGAGAGAGUGCUGUACAUCGAGGAGGUUGCAACACACGAUGGGAUGAUUGCGGACUUAGAGAAGAUUGUGGAGCAGGCCAAUGAUGAUGUUGGGAAGUUACAACAGGAGCGCAAGCAAUUGCACCAGAAGAUUCAAUGCCUGGAAGAAGAGAUGAGGGGUAAGGAUAGAGAGAGAGAGAAAGCAAACACUGCAAUUGCUAGAGAGAUAAAGGCGAGAGAGGCUAUGGAGAGAGAGCUCAAGGAGUUGGAGGAGAAGGUUGAGGGAUUGAAAGAGGUAGGGUUGGCGAAGGAUGACCAGAAACGAGAAGCGAUAAGGCAGCUCUGUCUCGCGAUUGAACACCACCGGGACAACUAUAACCAUAUGAGGGACCUGUUAUUGGCCCGAGUCACUAGGGUGUCCUGGGGGAGGGACCCGUUAUUGGCACGAAUCACUAGGGUGACCUCGGGGCCCGCCUCCUCUUGACUCGUCUUUGGUGUAUUCCUCUCUACUUCUCAGUCCCUAUCAUUGCACAAUUCAAUUUUUUCAUACUGAAUAAGCGGUGUGCAGGCACGCACUCAUAUGUGCGCCUACCAGCAGUGCACGUCUCUCUCUCUCACACAUUGCAACAUAGGAGCACAAUGAAGAAAUUCGGACCACCCUCCCCCUACUCUCUCCUUUCUAAAGAGCAAGAGUGAAUGGGAGAGAGUAACAAAAUC